rnacentral:rRNA from 1 species
AGAGUUUGAUCAUGGCUCAGGAUGAACGCUAGCGGCAGGCUUAAUACAUGCAAGUCGAACGGUAAGGUCUCUUCGGAGAUACACGAGUGGCGCACGGGUGCGUAACGCGUAUGCAACCUACCUUUAACUGGGAAAUAGCCCCGAGAAAUCGGGAUUAAUGUCCCAUACCAUUCUUUGAAUGCAUAUUCGAAGAAUGAAAGCUCCGGCGGUUAUUGAUGGGCAUGCGUGACAUUAGCUAGUUGGUGAGGUAACGGCUCACCAAGGCUACGAUGUCUAGGGGUCCUGAGAGGGUUAACCCCCACACUGGUACUGAGACACGGACCAGACUCCUACGGGAGGCAGCAGUAAGGAAUAUUGGGCAAUGGACGCAAGUCUGACCCAGCCAUGCCGCGUGAAGGAUGAAUGUCCUAUGGAUUGUAAACUUCUUUUAUGCAGGAAAAAUAUCCCGGUCGUGAACCGGGACUGAUGGUACUGUAUGAAUAAGCAUCGGCUAACUCCGUGCCAGCAGCCGCGGUAAUACGGAGGAUGCAAGCGUUAUCCGGAUUCAUUGGGUUUAAAGGGUGCGCAGGCGGAAUAAUAAGUCAGUGGUGAAAUCUCCCGGCUCAACCGGGAAACUGCCUUUGAUACUGUUGUUCUUGAGUACAGUCGAAGUGGGCGGAAUGUGUCAUGUAGCGGUGAAAUGCUUAGAUAUGACACAGAACACCGAUNGCGAAGGCAGCUCACUAAGCUGUAACUGACGCUCAUGCACGAAAGCGUGGGGAUCAAACAGGAUUAGAUACCCUGGUAGUCCACGCUGUAAACGAUGAUCACUCGUUGUUAGCGAUAUACUGUUAGCGACUGAGGGAAACCAUUAAGUGAUCCACCUGGGGAGUACGGCGGCNACGUUGAACCUCAAAUGAAUUGACGG